rnacentral:rRNA from 1 species
GACGAACGCUGGCGGCGUGCUUAACACAUGCAAGUCGAACGUGAUUUUGUGGAAGUUCCUUCGGGGAUGCAAAUGAAAUGAAAGUGGCGAACGGGUGAGUAACACGUGAGCAACCUACCUUACACAGGGGGAUAGCCGUUGGAAACGACGAUUAAUACCGCAUGAGACCACAAAGCCGCAUGGCUUAGGGGUAAAAGGUUUAUCGGUGUAAGAUGGGCUCGCGUCUGAUUAGCUAGUUGGAAGGGUAAAGGCCUACCAAGGCGACGAUCAGUAGCCGGUCUGAGAGGAUGAACGGCCACAUUGGAACUGAGACACGGUCCAAACUCCUACGGGAGGCAGCAGUGGGGAAAUUGCACAAUGGGGGGAACCCUGAUGCAGCGACGCCGCGUGAGCGAAGAAGGUUUUCGAAUCGUAAAGCUCUGUCCUAUGAGAAGAUAAUGACGGUAUCAUAGGAGGAAGCCCCGGCUAAA